CUAGCAGUUAUCAAAGGCAUAUGUCAGAAAGAAUUAUAGUCCUCAAUUGUUUAUUCUUUCUGUUCCCCUGGAAAGUAUUGAAACUGAAGAUACUUAAUAUUUUCUUUUUCUUUUUUUCUGGCAGGGGUGAUGAUACCAGGGAUUGGACUCAGGGGCACUCAACCACUGAGCCACAUUCCCAGCCCUAUUUUGUAUUUUCAUUAGAGACAAGGUCUUACUGAGUUACUUAGUGUCUCGCUAGGUUGCUGAGGUUGGCUUUGAACUCCGGAUCCUCCUGCCUCACCCUCCCAAGCCUCUGAGUAUACAGGCAAUCCUCCUGUCUCAGCCUUAUACAUGUGCACCACUAUGCUUGCUACAGUAUUUUCUUAGAACGAACUUUUCAUCUUUGUUUGAAAGGAGAAGAGAGGAUCAUGUAAUUUUCAAUUUAUAUCAUCAAAAGAAGGAACAUAUUGUAUUCAACUAUUUUAUUCAUCUAAGCACCGAAAAAAUAUAAUUUUUGCUUUGCUGCAGUUGCUGGCUUUUCUAAUUUAUGCCUAUUAUAAUUCUUACCUAAUAGUCUUCAUUGUUUUCCUCUUUAUAGAUUUAGACAUAGUUAACAGAUAAAUUAUAAAAUUUGAUGCCAGUAAAUUUUACCUCUUCGACUUUAGUUUUAUUGAACAAGAAACUAUGUUUUGAAAAAUUUUGUGUAUUUGAUUGUCUUUGAAAGUUUUUGGUUUGAAAGAUUUUUGGAAAGCAUGCUUUUAGUGUUGAAUUUUUAAAUCUCUAUUUUUCUUAAGCAAGAUGUUAUAAAAAUGCUCCCUCAAUGUAUGGAUAGUUACAGGAUGUAUGUUUCAUUCAAAUUAAAUAAAAGGAAUAUUUGCAAUUGUAGAACAACAGCGGGAAGAGAAACAGGAUACUUUUACAGAAAAAUUAGUUACUCAGAUCAUAAAAAAUCUUCAAGUGAAAAUUUCCAACAUCCAUAUUCGUUAUGAAGAUGAUGUAAGUAUUUUAAAAAUAUAGAUGAUUUUAAAAGAUACAUUUAUAUGUAAGUCAUUGUACUGUUUGUUGAUACUUACUUUAUACUAGCCAGACUAUUAAAUAAUGC
rnacentral:lncRNA from 1 species